rnacentral:rRNA from 1 species
UACGAAGGGGGCUAGCGUUGCUCGGAAUCACUGGGCGUAAAGCGCACGUAGGCGGAUUGCUAAGUCAGACGUGAAAUCCCUCAGCUUAACUGGGGAACUGCGUCUGAUACUGAGUGGCUUGAGUGCAGGAGAGGAAUGCGGAAUUCCAGGUGUAGCGGUGAAAUGCGUAGAUAUCUGGAGGAACACCGGUGGCGAAGGCGGCAUUCUGGACUGUAACUGACACUGAGGAACGAAAGCCAGGGGAGCAAACGGGG